AUGGUGUGCUUGUCUGACAGACAGGGCAGCUGAGGGGAAUAAGUCUCUGCAGCGUUGUAGUGAAGAGAGAAUACGGGACAACUGCAGGACCACAGCUCAGCCAAGACACAACCACAUGACUGAAGACAGAGCUCAUCUGGGUCAGUGUUUCAGAAAAUGUUGCCAAGAAACUUCAAAUGCAGAUUCCUGGACCUCAGUGCAAACUACCAUAUUGGAAGUGAGAGUCGGGGUGAGAUGGAGGAGAGGCUCCCUUGCAGCUGAGUUGGCCAUAUGACUGACAGCAAGCCCUGGAAUGCAGCCAGAAGUGAUAGAAGCCUCUUUCACACCAUGCUCCUAAAAUACUCCAAGAAAUUUUCCAAACCCACUCUUUUUAGUCUGUGCAUCUGGAAGUGAAAGUUUUAGAAAGGGUAAAGUCACUUAAUGGAAAGGGCCCAGAUCUAGCCCCUCGGAGCCAAGCUGUUCAACUAGAAAUUCUGCAUUAGUAUUUGCGGGUUGGCCCAACACUCAUGAAAUGCAGAUGUGAAUGAUUUUUGACUGGCAGAUUUCAAAAUGAAUAUGCAGCCACUACAACUUUUAUAUAACUUUAAAAUUCUGGAAGAGGAAUGCAAGACUCUGUCCAAAUUGUGUGUUUGGGGCAAUGAGAAUAUUAUAUGUACAGUCCAAAAUAUAUUUCCAAAUACAGGUAAACAAAGGCUAUUUUGAUUCUGUUUUAAGGUCGCAAAUAGUCUGUCAUGGAGUUUAGAUUGUGAGUCUCCCUGCUAGAAGAUGGGUCGCAAUUGGAAGAGUGCUUUAUAUUCCCCGCGCCACUGCCAAAUGAUCCUAGAGGUUAACAGAAAACAGCAAUGGGGCUUCCAAGGACAAGGACUGAAUUAUAUACUUUGUAAGACUAGGAAUGAAGAGAACAUUGUAUUCUUCAAACAAAGUAACAGCUAGACAGACAGGCAAAAGAACGAAGAAUCUGGCCUCCAAGUAAUCCUUAAUUAUAACCCUGCAACCUAAAAGGACAAGAAUAUAAAGUGGGUCAAGAAGAAAUGCAUGAAUUAUAUAAGUAAAGAAAACUGAAACACAUCUCCGGGCACAAAGCAAGCUAGCUAUAAUUUACUACUAUAAAAUUCAAGAAUUUUGUACCCUAGCUUAUGCCAUUAAUCCAUAAAGAUACCAAAGCCUUCAAUAUAAAAUGACACUAGAAGCUGUAAUUUAAUUAAGGCUGAGGUACUGUAGUUAUUAAUUACAUGUGAAAUAGUAAAUAUUUAAAAUAUUUGAAAAUUGCUCGUAUUUCUUAAAAUUGAGUAAUAUGCUAUAAAUCUCAAAAGGCAGGGUAAUUGCAGUCUCCGUGGCAAGUCUGUUUGUACAGCAAAACCUGUAUAGCAUCUCUGGAGAACUAAGGUAUAAUCUGCAGCUGUGUAAUUGAAGAAGAUCUGACACAUGGAACUAUACAAGUUAUUUUCAACUAGCAGAGCUUAGGAUAUUUUUCUUUCAGAAUAAAAGUGCAGAAUUCUGGAUUAUAAUUCUAUUUCUACCACACUAAAAUAGCUCACAAAUGCUUAUUCUGUGUUAGAAGCAGGCCUUGAAAUGGAUAGUCCAAAUGUGUGGAAUUUCACCACUUUUUGACAAUGUAAUUUUUGAUUAAUUUUCCAACACCAUAAGCAAAAUGCACCUGAACCCAUAUACACAGUGAAUCCUGGGUGGGAAUAUUGAUUUAAAUGUGUGUUUGCAAUAAAUAAACAUCCUGAAACACAUCAUCUUCCUGUUCACAUUAACUGCCUCUAUCAAAUAUUGAAACCAAAGUAUUUUGUUAUUCAAAAGAAUAUUGUUUUAUGCCUAUGUAUGGAUGGUUGUUCCAAUCAUCUUACAGACUCUAGUGCAAUAUGAGAUACUUGUAAACUUCCAUAGCCUAUGCUGUAUGGAAGCUUUGUAGUUUCUUCUCCACUUCCUUAAUCUGAGAGUAGUUGGUUUGUCCCUGAGUUUUCCUGGGUGAAUUGACUUUCCACCAAGUGUCAUCAAGAGAGUUUGAUUUCUGGUUCUUGCCUUAAUGAAUAAGAGUUGCAAUUCCAAGUAGUUAACUGUGGACCACACCCAGGUAUACCUCUGAAGUAACCUUAGCAUAAGUUCAGUUAGUAGAUACAACCCAGAUCCUCUCUACCUCAUGACAAUCUAGCUAAAGGAAAGGCCACAGGGCUACCAAGGGCUUCUAAGAAGUUUCCAGCUUUUCAUUGGCCAUUUGAAAAACAUCAUAUCAUUUGUGGGACUUGGAACAAUGAGGACUCUGUUCUUCAUGGAUGGACCUUGAGAUUGUUUUACAGGUAAAAGGAGGGAACUCAGCUCAUUACAAAGACUUCAUUCAAGGUCAGGAUAUGGCUGGAAGAGCAGCCUCUCUAAGAACAUGGCUUGAAAGGAAAUCUGUGAGGAAGUAAGAGAAAAUGACUCACAAGCCAGCCACAUGCACAUCAGUGCAAGUUAGCAGGAUGGCAGGUGUCACAGGGAGGUAGAGUGCCCUUGGUGCCUUUUGGAUCCCAGUAUUUUAAUUUUUACCCCUUAUUGUUAUAUAGUAAUAUCCCUAACCCUGCGUGUGGCACAAUUGCUUUAAUAAAGACAGUUAUAAUGAGUG